AGUCGUAACAAGGUUUCCGUAGGUGAACCUGCGGAAGGAUCAUUAACACGUAUCCAACGUUAAACAACCCUGUGAACCUUGAACGUGCUCUCGCACACGCUCUAGCAGCAAUCCCUGGUAAAUCAUUGUUGACCAGCUAUUGAGUCAGGGACCUCUGCUUUAAAACGAUGCGAUACGAGCGCCCUGGCAUCCUAGCAAUCUGUCAGUGGUUGCGCAAGGAUGGCGCAGUAAACGAUCGCUGUAGGCCCACACGGCCGGCGACCGGGCCUCUGUGCUUCGGCACCUAACGACCCCAUGUUUCGUACCCGGUGCGCUGUAACAACCGCACCACAAACUCGAACAACUGUUAACAAUGGAUAUCUUGGUUCUC
rnacentral:misc_RNA from 1 species